rnacentral:rRNA from 1 species
UACGUAGGGUGCAGGCGUUAAUCGGAAUUACUGGGCGUAAAGCGUGCGCAGGCGGCUUUGCAAGACAGAUGUGAAAUCCCCGGGCUUAACCUGGGAACUGCAUUGGUGACUGCAGCGCUGGAGUAUGGCAGAGGGGGGUGGAAUUCCACGUGUAGCAGUGAAAUGCGUAGAGAUGUGGAGGAACACCGAUGGCGAAGGCAGCCCCCUGGGCCAAUACUGACGCUCAUGCACGAAAGCGUGGGGAGCAAACAGG